ensembl:piRNA 21ur-9551 ncRNA
UUUUCAUUGACGGAGGACUUG